GCAUUGUACCUGUUGAACAAAAUGGAAAAUUGGGUCAGAGAAUAUUUUGUAUCACGACUUUUGUGGAUUUAUGAAUGGCGAGCACUGUACUAGAUAAUUGAAUGAGACAUGUCUACCAAUGAAAUGCAGUGGCAAACUUCUGGGUUUUGUCCAGAAAGGCCGGGGAGAGACAAGGUUUACAUUAUCGGUCUUCUCUCAGGAUUGAGAGACUGCAGGGGUACAGGGGUACCACAUAUGGUGGUUUCAUUUUCAUUAUUGGAACUGGUAUUUGAGAAUCAUGUAAAAAGAGGAGGGGAAGGCGUCCAUGACUCUAGUGUUUAUUCAUAAAUGGGAGUUGGUAGCUCUCUUAGCUGCUAAGCUCCUAGACGUCAUAUGAUGGGAUAAAGUCUAAUAUCUUUUCAUGACCAUGAGGACCAGGAGGUUGAAUAUAACCCGAAGGCUUGUUAUAUCUUGUCAAGAUCUGAUCGCACUGGCCUGCUAGGAAAGAAAUAGCAGAAUAUCUAAUUCUUAUAAUGCUCUGCAUUGGUAUUUUGGAUGCAUGGCAUGGCCAAAAAGAGUGGUGCUGCCAUGGCAUCCCAUUUUACACAGCUGGGAAGAGAUUCUCUGACUCCGAGAGAUCAAGAUCCUCAGAAAAAGAGAAAAGGCAACUCACAUUUUUACGCGUGCAGAAACAUCGAAAGGGAACAAAUAGAUCCUUUGAAUGACUGCCUGCAAAGGCAGGCUUGCAUGCAGUUAUGAAGAUGACUGCAUCUACAAUAUGAGUAGAAGCAAAGAGCUUAUUUAUUUAUUUAUCUCUUCAUUUUGAAGAAGGUGAAUCACAAAAUUUUUUGCUAUUGUAUCAUCAAAUUUUUUUUGCCCUUAUUCUGACUGGAAUAAAUCCAGCUUUGUUCCAAAAAAACUUGACACUAGAUGAAACUAUUAGGCUCUGUUUGGUUGUUGAGAAAAAUGAAAGACAAUGAAAAUUAUUUGUAUGCUGAUAAAAAGUUAAUUUUCAUGAAGACAAGAAUAUAAAGAUUUUUCUCUUA